AGGAACCUUAAACAGGUGCUGCAGAGGCCCUGGCCCAGGACGGGGGCCAGCAGGCAUGCAGGGAGGUACCAUACCACUUGCAUUUGUUAUGACUUAGGGAUAGGGUCGUGGAGAGAGCAGAAGUACUCCAGUGUGUUUGAGGCCCUUGCUGUGGAGCAGGCAUGGAGCCACCCUGCUGCGCAUGAAUCUACACCUGGCACAGAAUCUACAUGCUGUGAGCAUAGAAUCCACACACUCUGGUCACAGUAUCCACAAACUCUGGCCACAGAAUCCACACACUUCCAUCAUGGACUCCACACACUCUGACCAUGGAAUCCACAUGCUCUGAGCACAGAAUCCACACACUCCCAGCAGAG